CAUGUUUAGCUAACCAGACAGCCCCAUGGAUGUCUCGCCUCAAUGAACAUCUGGCUGCAUCGGAGAUUGGGCCCAGCUGAGAUCAGAUGUUGACCCCCUACAGGCCCUUCAAUAUGCAUGACUGUCUCCCCUCCUCCACCGUCCAACCCCCACUAAACAGCUGAAUACAGCCAGCUAGUCUACAAUCCCACUGCAGUAAUGCCCAUGGCAUGAUACACAUCCAGAUAAUAAUACAGUAAUAGAGUUGUGUUACUAAGACGUGUAUCAUCACUUCGUCUAGUUUGCUCUGAGCCUUUUCAAGUAUUGGGGACAAAGUCACUGACCAGAUCACACAUGAUUUGGAUAGUCCAUCUGUAGAUGGUGUACAGAUGGUCAUUACUAUCAACAAACUAUCUGUUGAUAAGCAACUGCUUGCGAAGUUUAGGUUUACAAUAAGGGUUAGGUCUAGGUUUAGGAUAAGGGUUAGGUUUAGAAUAAGGGUUAGGGCUAGGUUUAGGAUAAGGGUUAGGUUUAGGAUAAGGGUUAAGUUCAGGGUUAGGAUAAAGGUUAGGGUUAGGUUUAGAAUAAGGGUUAGGGCUAGGUUUAGGAUAAGGGUUAAGUUCAGGGCUAGGAUAAAGGUUAGGUUUAGGUUUAGAAUAAGGGUUAGGUCUAGGUUUAGGAUUAGGGCUAGGUUUAGGAUAAGGGUUAAGUUCAGGGCUAGGAUAAAGGUUAGGUUUAGAAUAAGGGUUAGGGCUAGGUUUAGGAUAAGGGUUAAGUUCAGGGUUAGGAUAAGGGUUACUGUUAGGGUUAGUAGAUAGUUUAAAUGUUACUGAUAGUCUCUAGAGCAUAUACAGACGGAUGAUCCAAAGACCAAUUAGUGGGAAAAUAUCAUAAUUGGUUUGCCUGUGUGAACGCAGCGAUAUAGAUACAGUCAAUCAACUGGAAGGAGCUAGUUGAGGAACAGGAUGUGCCACUGGCUAUUUGCAUAGCCAACACCAACUCUUUAUCAUGUUGACAGAUUCAGAUCUGUAGUAGAGACAAAUCACCACAGACACUGUAGACUAACAAUAGACAUUCUGUGUACAUCACAUGUACAUCCACACUGGUGGAUCCUUGUUAGGUGAUGAUGACUAACGUUAUAGUGAUGUAUUUGGGGUAGCCUAGUAGUACAUUGGUAGCCUGGUCCCAGAUCUGUUGUCUCCUUCUAUAGCCUGGUCCCAGAUCUGUUGUCUCCUUCUAUAGCCUGGUCCCAGAUCUGUUGUCUCCUUCUAUAGCCUGGUCCCAGAUCUGUUGUCUCCUUCUAUAGCCUGGUCCCAGAUCUGUUGUAUCCUUCUAUAGCCUGGUCCCAGAUCUGUUGUAUCCUCCUAUAGCCUGGUCCCAGAUCUGUUGUCUCCUUCUAAAGCCUGGUCCCAGAUCUGUUGUCUCCUCCUAUAGCCUGGUCCCAGAUCUGUUGUCUCCUUCUAUAGCCUGGUCCCAGAUCUGUUGUCUCCUUCUAUAGCCUG
rnacentral:lncRNA from 1 species